UUGAUGGUGCAACAACGAUGUAGGAGCUGCAACAUCAUUGGGUCUGAUCAUCGAAGAGGAGCUUCCAUUAACCGAAGGGGUUCAGGGAGGAGCAACCACCACCAUCAACGUUGAAGUAGCAGCUGCCAAGUGUGCAGCCAGAGAUGGAGAAGAAGAACGAAGAUGCACUUGCGUUUUCAGUUCUGUUCAACCGAUACCAGCAGCCGAUGCAAACCUAAUCGAGAAUUCCUUCUUUGAGGUGAGACAGAGACCAACCGAGUAGAAUGGGGAGCUGAAGCUUGCAUUUCCCUGAUCUAAUCCACCGAGACUAGCAGCCAAAGAUGGAGAAGAAGAAAGGCGAUGGUACCUGCGUUUUCUCUUCCCCUAAACCGAGACCAGCAGCCGAGAAUAGAAAGGGAGAUGGGUUAUUAAUCAUGAGGGUAAACUUGUCAUUUAAAAGAUUACAAACGUGACACAUCAUCACU